AUGUACAUACAUGUUUUACUACCCAGUUCUGAUGCAAUAGUGACAAAGCUUUUUGAUCCAUCGCUCUCUCAAGUAGUGACCAUCAGGAUUAUACAGAUCACAAUAGGCAUGCCUUUUUUAUCAUUCAUCACUGUAUCAGGUAUAUCUUUUCCUCCAAAGGGUUACAAAUGUUUUGACCUACACGUCUUAAGUUUAUGCUGGAAAUAUAUCUUUCAAUGCUACACUGUAGUUAAAUUUAAAAAUCGAGGAUCUAUUUUUAUAUUUAACACUAUCUCAAAUCAUGAGAACCUUAAGAUUUGCUUAGUAAAUUGCAUUGUUAAUGACGGUGUUUAUUUGGUAGUUAUCUCCAUAACACAUUUUGGCUUAUUUUUAUGCAUAUUAUUUUGCCACACCAAGAACUAUAUAACUCAUGCAGAGAUGUUUGUCAACGUACUGCAUUUGGUGUCUGCUUUCUCAUAA
rnacentral:rRNA from 1 species